CCUACGGGAGGCAGCAGUGGGGAAUAUUGCACAAUGGGGGAAACCCUGAUGCAGCGACGCCGCGUGAGUGAAGAAGUAUCUCGGUACGUAAAGCUCUAUCAGCAGGGAAGAUAAUGACGGUACCUGACCAAGAAGCCCCGGCUAACUACGUGCCAGCAGCCGCGGUAAUACGUAGGGGGCCAGCGUUAUCCGGAUUUACUGGGUGUAAAGGGGGCGUAGGCGGCAGCACAAGUCUGGUGUGAAAUCCCGGGGCUUAACCCCGGAACUGCUUUGGAAACUGUGCGGCUGGAGUGCAGGAGGGGUAAGCGGAAUUCCUGGUGUAGCGGUGAAAUGCGUAGAUAUUAGGAGGAACACCGGUGGCGAAGGCGGCUUGCUGGACUGUAACUGACGUUGAGGCUCGAAAGCGUGGGGAGCAAACAGGAGUAGAUACCCGUGUAGUC
rnacentral:rRNA from 1 species